GGUUACAAUGGUGGUGGUUGGUGGAGGUGGCUGCUGAAUUUUCAUCCACAAAACCUCGAACAUAAGACCGCGUCCACAAGAUCAUCAUCCACAAAACCUCUCUUCUGAUUGAUAUCUUUUUCUGUGUCCAUAUGAUAUCGUCCACAAGACCUCUAUGCCGAAUCUUCAUCCUCAAAACCUUGAACACGAAAUCUUUUGUCAGAUGAAAGAUAUUUUGAUAACUUUUCCAAGGUUCUCAGCCGUAGAAAACCGAGGCAACAACUGAUAUAUUCAUGUGGAAGAACAAGAAGAUUUAUGGUGGUGUACUCAUGGUGCUACAGAUGCUUGGGUUCUCUUAACCACAUCACUCUGUCCAAUAUUUUAUCUUCCAAAGUUCGAUAGGAUUAUGACAUUUUUAUCUUAUAUACAUGAUUUAUAGUAGUGAUAGUUACAUCUUGAGUUUACUUUAUUGUGCAAUCUUGUGUUAUAUGAAGUGUUGGAGAAAACGAAAGAUUGUGACAUACAUUUUGAACAAAGCGGAAGAAUCUUAUUCUGUAUUAGAUGAAGUUGAAGUAAUUUGUG